rnacentral:lncRNA from 1 species
AUUCACCCUUGCAAGAUGGUGCAAGCCAGCUCUAGAAAACUUCCGGCUUCUAGGACAGUGCCUUCCUUACGGUAGGUACUGAGAAAUUGAGCAAUUCACAAUAGAAUGGAUAUGGCAGCAGCUUCAAAAUUUACAAAAUAGUUGAUUAUGAUCACAUGCUACACCCUCGACUUGCUGAUGGGGCAGCGUGGAUUCAACCAGGAAUGUCCUCCUUCCUGAAUGGAUGAUGAUGGGGCAAACACAGCGUUCCAGUCACUAGACAUGUACCUCCUAUGCAGGUGGGCACACAAGACAGCUGACUAAGGGAAGAAAUGCAUGAGAAAUUUGCAAAGAGGGAAAGCCAAGAGCACCUGUAGUGUUCUGGAGGUAGCUGCACACUGACAUCCCUUCACACCCAGUGGCCUCUUGUGAAAGAGAAGGCAAUGCAAUGCCGUCGGAGACAAAGCCCAGCUGAAGAGAGGCAGUGCACUUGCUGAUGGAUACUAAAUGAAAAGCAGGCAGAAAUCAGCAAUGCAUCCAGCUUCUGUUGAGGGAGAUUCAGUGGAAUGAUUUUUAUAUUUUCAUGAAGAAAUUACAGUUGAAUAUUAAAACCUGGUAUUUCAGUUUAUCUGGUCUGACUCCCAUCUAACUAACCAACAUAGCCAUGGAUUUUGUAAAACUCACUUAGCAAAUCAUCUUAAUUGGUACCAAAAAAGUGAUGGCUAUGGAAAUAUUGGCAUUUCUAUGUGCAUAACUGAUGUUUUUAUGAGGAUAAGAGGGAGAGAAGAAUCACAUUUCAAAGAAGCUUCUACUGAAAUAAACUAACCAGAAGAACUAAUUGUGGCAUACUUAACAGCUUUGAGCUUUAUGUGUACACUACCUAUGUUUCCUGUUCAGCAAGUGAAUGUCCCCAGGCCGGUAGGGGCAAUGUGAAGAUGAAUCUUAUAUCUCCAAUUUCUCGAAGAACAUUUAUUCAUCUUCCUGGAAUUCACUCAUUGCCAGUUCUUUUAGAAAUACUGACACAGUUAAUAGUGUCUAAUGUCGUGGAUGACUGCCUUCCACCGAUGUCGUGACUUCCCACCCAAGAACCAAUGACUUCUUUCUCUGUGAUUCAGCUCUCCACUGACCCUCAUGGGCAAGAGUGGGGUUUCAGCAAUUAUUCUUUCAACCUCUAUUGAUUAAUCACACGAUAUAAGCCAGACACAGUUCUGGGCAGCAGGAUACAAUAGUGAACAAGACAACCCCAAAUCCCUGCUCUUGUGGAACUGACAUUUUCUCAUGGGGUGUGGGGGUUGGGGAAGAAUGAGAGAUGUUAAAUGCAAAACCAAAAUAAAAGAAAUUUUAAGAUCAUGUGAUAGGGAGUGGCUGGCUGGUCAGGGAUAGCCUCUCCAGGACUGGGACAUUCAUGGGAGUUGACAUGUGAAUUAUGAGAAGAAGCCGACAAUGCCAAGAUCACAUGGCAACACGUUUCAUGCAAAAGAAACAGCCAGCAUGAAGCCUGUGAGCUGGGAACAAGACCGGCUCAGGUCAAGGGACAGACAAAAAGGCCAACAAGGCUGAAAAAGAAUAAGGAAGAGGAGAGGGGUGUGAGGUUCAGCAGGAAAGAUCUGAAGGACUGGGUCAGACAGGGUUCUUCAGGACAUGGAAAAGAAUUUGAAUUUUUUAAAUAAAUGCAAUGAGAAGA